AUUGAACGCUGGCGGCAUGCCUUACACAUGCAAGUCGAACGGUAACAGGCCGCAAGGUGCUGACGAGUGGCGAACGGGUGAGUAAUGCAUCGGAACGUGCCCAGUAGUGGGGGAUAGCCCGGCGAAAGCCGGAUUAAUACCGCAUACGACCUGAGGGUGAAAGGGGGGGAUCGCAAGACCUCUCGCUAUUGGAGCGGCCGAUGUCAGAUUAGCUAGUUGGUGGGGUAAAGGCCUACCAAGGCAACGAUCUGUAGUUGGUCUGAGAGGACGACCAGCCACACUGUGACUGAGACACGGCCCAGACUCCUACGGGAGGCAGCAGUGGGGAAUUUUGGACAAUGGGCGCAAGCCUGAUCCAGCAAUGCCGCGUGCAGGAAGAAGGCCUUCGGGUUGUAAACUGCUUUUGUCAGGGAAGAAAUCUUCUGGGUUAAUACCUCGGGAGGAUGACGGUACCUGAAGAAUAAGCACCGGCUAACUACGUGCCAGCCGCCGCGGUAAGAC
rnacentral:rRNA from 1 species